UCGCUCUGUGUGGCUGCCGCAGCCAAUGACCAGUGGGAUCGUCUACUUAUUUAGAGAGAAAAAAUCAUAUAUUGCCGCUCUGUGGGGCCUGCGCAGCCAAUGACCAGUGGGUCGUCUAUUUUUCAGGAAAACUCACAUAUUGCCGCUCUGAUAUAUGUCUUUAGAGAAUAUCAUAGAGAGAAGCAACAAGUUCGCUAAUUAAUUAUUCUUAAGCUAGACCGGAGAACCGCUGGCAGCUCGUUCCCCACCGUCGGACGGAGCAGCCAUCGCCGGCGCCUCGUCGCGCCGCCGGCUCUGUCCCCCGGCGGCGUCGGACGAACUGCGGCGCUGCACGUCAACCACGGCUCCAGCACUUGUUUCGUCCGCACGCAUUGUACCCACCGCAGGAAAGUCCGCCGCAAGCAGAUCCGCCGCCCACGACGACCGGGAUUUGUUCCGCGCACCAAUUGGUAUAGCUUGGUACGAAAUAGUCCUCAAUGUCUGGUCGUAGCGGGUACACCGGCGAGGGUGGGGAUUCGAUCAUGUCGUGGCCACGUUCUACUUCUCCUACCUCGUCGGAAGUGCAGUUAGCCAGGCAAGCCGAUGAUCCAUGGUACAUUGCAUACCAAGAUGAAUCAACCCAGUGGUGUAGCCAGAGGAUGGAUUUGGAGGAGAAGGUGGCCAAUUUAGGUGAUGAAUUGGCCCGUAAAAACCUGAUGAUAUUCGAGCUGAAG